CGAAAUCUAUUAGGGUUUAGAAAAACGAACACGGUGCUUCUCCGGUUCCCCUUCCCUCUCCGCUGCCGUCUACUCCUCCGCUUUCCUCCGACAGCGCCUCCUCCCUCCGUUUGCAUCAACGUCGAGCCGACCAGUUUACAAGGCCUACAACCUCUGGUGAAGCUCGUAGUACGUGCAUCCCCUCAUCCUCUCUUCUGCGUGCGUCUAAGAUCAUAGGAGGAAGGAGAGGUCCUGACACAUUAUCGAGGGACUAAGAAGGGUCUUUGAGUUUAUAAGAAAAUAGGAUGGGUACCGAACCAAAAGCCAACAAGACACCUAAAGUGGUGAAACUUGACAAAGCACUGAAAUUGGCUGAAACAUGGGUUAAUAAUAUGACCACAUCAGCAGGCCAUGAACAGAGCGAAGUAGAAUUUGAGGGUCGACCUUCAAGAUUGGGUCUGGGAGCUAAACUCGCACCAAAAGCUAAAGUAGCAGUUUCAGUCGAUCAAGCAGAGAGGAGAUUGCUUGGGAAGUUAAACUCUAAGAAGAAAUUGUCUUCGGAAAAUGUAGAGAACAAUACCUCAGUUAAAGAGAAUGUGUCCAGUGAGGAGGAUGAACCGGAGAGCAGAACAAGAGCUUUUGUCAAAAAAAGAUCGAUACCACUUCCAGCAACUUUACAGUCUACCAAGAAGAGAAGAUGACGCAUGUUUGGAGACCAACUAAUGGGGAAAAAACGAGUAAAAACUUCCUACUGUGUCAUCUUGCAAGCUUGCAGAGGUACCGCCGUGGCAUGGGCAUAAUUUGUGUGUAAAGUUUUUUUGCACUUUAUUUAUCUUAAAACAAAUGAUUAAUCAGGUCUAACGUCGAAUCUGGGGCGAAACUUUGUUUAUCUUAAGAAGUUUAGGGUUGUUGCACACUGAUCUAUAAUAUUCUGUGAUUGCUUUCGCAAAUUUGUUUGGUAAA